rnacentral:rRNA from 1 species
GUGGGGAAUUUUGGACAAUGGGCGCAAGCCUGAUCCAGCAAUGCCGCGUGCAGGAAGAAGGCCUUCGGGUUGUAAACUGCUUUUGUACGGAACGAAACGGUCCGGGUUAAUACCCUGGGCUAAUGACGGUACCGUAAGAAUAAGCACCGGCUAACUACGUGCCAGCAGCCGCGGUAAGACGUAGGGUGCAAGCGUUAAUCGGAAUUACUGGGCGUAAAGCGUGCGCAGGCGGUUUUGUAAGACAGGUGUGAAAUCCCCGGGCUCAACCUGGGAACUGCACUUGUGACUGCAAGGCUAGAGUGUGUCAGAGGGAGGUGGAAUUCCGCGUGUAGCAGUGAAAUGCGUAGAGAUGCGGAGGAACACCGAUGGCGAAGGCAGCCUCCUGGGAUAACACUGACGCUCAGGCACGAAAGCGUGGGGAGCAAACAGGAUUAGAAACCCUUGUAGUCC